rnacentral:rRNA from 1 species
AUUGAACGCUAGCGGGAUGCCUUACACAUGCAAGUCGAACGGCAGCGCGGACUUCGGUCUGGCGGCGAGUGGCGAACGGGUGAGUAAUGCAUCGGAACGUGCCCAGUAGCGGGGGAUAACUACUCGAAAGAGUAGCUAAUACCGCGUACGCCCUACGGGGGAAAGGGGGGGACCGCAAGACCUCUCACUAUUGGCCCGGCCGAUAUCGGAUUAGCUAGUUGGUGAGGUAAAGGCUCACCAAGGCGACGAUCCGUAGCUGGUUUGAGAGGACGACCAGCCACACUGGGACUGAGACACGGCCCAGACUCCUACGGGAGGCAGCAGUGGGGAAUUUUGGACAAUGGGGGCAACCCUGAUCCAGCCGUUCCGCGUGUGCGAUGAAGGCCUUCGGGUUGUAAAGCACUUUUGGCAGGAAAGAAAUCGCACGGAUUAAUACUCUGUGUGGAUGACGGUACCUGCAGAAUAAGCACCGGCUAACUACGUGCCAGCCGCCGCGGUAA